CCUGUUAUUCAGUUUUCUUUUACAUUGGUCAAAAUAUCAAAUUCUAACAGCAAACUUUAAGAAGACACAACUCAGCUCCGACAGUUUUUAUCAUUGCACUAAAUUUCUAUUUUUAAGCGUCAGAAGACAGAAACAGAAGCUGUAAAUAUGAAGUUUCAUGCAAGUUUCUCACAUUGAGCAUCGCUGUGUUGGUUUCAUUCUGAUUUUUAAGGUUUAUGUUUCGGUUUUCUUGUUUGUUUGAUUGUUUUUUUUUUGGGGGGGGGGGGGUCUAUCACAAUGAAUUUUAAGUUGUUUGUGUUUUAUCUUCCAACAUCUUGCCUGUUGCAUAAAGCAGCUGUGUGCUAAACACCAUCAUUUACACCACAUUCUGUAAACUGACUGUUGUGUUUCUUUGGUUUUGCAGUGGAUCAGAUCCACUCUCAGCUUCUCUCUCUCUCUCUGAGUGAAGGUCAGAGAGUCUCAGUGUGGAUAAUUGAAGUGUGAGUUUGUAAUUAAGAAGUGUGAAGUGAGAUAAUCUCAGAGAGAGACGAGCAGCUAGUUUCAGUCUCGUAGAGACAGACGGAGGAGGAAGUUCUUAUCUCUCUGCAGGAGCGAGGGAUUAAUAUGUAAAGACGGAGGGAGGACAGCGAGGACGGAGGAGGACGAGUCGGUCCAUCUGAUAAGAGCUGAAGCUGCUGUUAAACCGCUUCCUGACACACACCUGAACCCAGAUCAGAUUUAAAGUCUCUGAGAAAAAGAACAAGAUGACUUCCUGUUCUUAUCUGAGUCACUACUGCAGCAGCAUUUCAGCAUCCACUGGGCAGGUUUUCCUGCUCUCCAGAGGAUGAACUCUUUUAAUUUUAAUGACUCUGUGACUUUUUUAAGGUUCCAGGAGUCUCUGAGGAAGUUCAGGAGUCCUCAAGAGCAGUAAAGAUUUUUGUGCACAGAGGCUUUUAUGCUCAAUACGUUCUGUGUCGCAGAAUAUUCCAAACAAAAUAUUCUGCGAGGAAGCAAGAAGUCGAGUGUCACUGUGAGGACGUCAUCGACCAAACAUGGCUGCUUGCUGUGCUGCAGAGCUGCUGAGGAAGAAUUAUUGUGUCUGUGGCUGAAACAAAAAAAAGCAACUUAAAGCUUUAAGAACGUUAAUAUUCUUCACACAUCUGUCUCCAGUUUGAUGGUCUUGAUUUUCAGCAGCAGGAGGUGAAGGUCAGGAAUUCAUUCAUCAACACAAAUCAUCUGAGCAUUCAUGUUGUUUCUCCUAAUCAUCCGUCCUCGUCCUCGCCGCCGUUCGUAUUUGAAGGUCAGAGUUAAUAGAAAAGUUUUAAAUGAGCGUCGCUGUGCUGCAUCUGUCAGCUGCUAACUGCUGUUCAAUCAGUCUGCUAUUAUCUGACAUUAGAGAACAGAGAGUCAGGACAGACGGGGAAUAUCAAACAACAGAACAGAUUUAAAGAAAAGAGAACCAACAGCAACAGGAAGUGAUGUCAUCAUCCAAUCCAAGAAUUCAAAUCUGUCCUUGUGCAGAACCUUCCUCCAACACAACACAGCUGGCUUUCCUGACAGUCGUGUAGGAAAUAUGGAUCAUUUAGGAAGUUCUAGAGGUACUUUGGCUGGUUCUAGUGGUCCUUUAGUAGGUUCUUGUGUUCCUGUCCGAUGGUCACUGAGCAGAGUAGUCAUUUAGGUGGUUUUAGUGGUUUUGGGGUGGUUCAAGUGUUCCUGUAAGGUUCACUGAGAAGGUUCUAGUUGUUCUUUCGGGUGUUUUCGUGGUUACUGAGGAGGUAACGGUCCCUAAGGACUUAUAACAGAUCCUGCAGGAGGUUCUAGUGGUCCUUUAGAAACUGAUAGGUGUCCUUUACGAUCCAGCAAUGACUUGUAAAGGUCCUUAAAUGGUUAUACUCAUUCUUUAGAUAGUUCUUGUGGGCAUUGAAGAGGUUCUAGUGAUUCUUUGGGUGAUUCUAGGGGUCACCGAGGACACUGCAUAGGUCUCACUCCUUUAAGUGGUUCUAGGUUGAUCUUGUGGACACUAAGAAGGUUCUAGAGGUUUAUGUGGUUCUUCUGGUCCUUUGGGAGAUUCUGUUUGUCACUGAGGGUGUUUUGGUCUCUUUAAGGUGGUUCUACUUGUCUUAUGGGCCAAGUGGUCUCUUAGGAGGUUCUAAAGGUCUCUUAUCUUGUGUUCAUUAGCAAGGUUCUAGUGGUCAUUUGGGUGCUUUGAGGGUUCCUGUAGUUGGGUUUUGUGGUUAUUGAGGAGGUUCUAGUAUUCAUUGAAAGGGUUCUAAAGUUCCUUAAUGAGCUCUAUUUGUCCUUUAAGUGCUUCUAGUCACCAUGAAGUAGGUUCUAGGGGUCCUCUGGAAGGCUCUAAUUGUCUCAAAUAGGUUCUUGUGGUCAUGUAAGUGGUGUUGUAGGAGGUUUUAGAGGUCGUUUAGGAGGCUGAGGUGGUAUUUUAGGUGGUUCCACUAGUCCUCUAGUGUUCUUUUAGUAAGGGUUCUCGGUUCUUUUGUAGUGAUGUGUUACGUGUGUGACGUGUUCUUUGAACUGAAUGAGUCCCGUUGUAAUAGUGUGUCUAUUAGAGAUGAAAGCAGGAAGCAGGUCAUCAGUCUGUUUAUUCAGAGAAGUCUUCGACAUUAAAACUGAACCGACUGAGUCACAGCUCGCUGUUACAGCCGAGCUGCUGCUGGUGAGCGCGGGUCUAUUUUCAGUCCUUAUUAAUGCCGAACAUCAACAGCUGAGGAAUACAUUUGCAUCCUCUCUCGCUUCUUCUUCUCUUCAUUUACUUUCUGUUCGUCCUCUUCGUUUCUUCUUCUGCUGUUCAGCUGCUUCCUAAUUGGUGUUUGUCUUUGGAUGAAUGUGAGAGAGGCAGAAACAGAGAUAAAUAAGAUCCAUCUUUAAUGAUCCUUCAGGGGAAUCAGACUGCUGAAAUAAUGACCUGAUAGAAACUGAGGUUAUUUAAACAUUGGAGGAUAAACUGUGGAUCACAGCAUCAUCAGGAAGUCUGCAAAUUAUCAUUAUUAUUUUAACAUUAUCAACGUGUUGAUGUUUUAUUUUCAUGUGAACAUGCAGGUUUGUGGUUCUGAUAUUUUAGAUAUUUAUGAUAAUGUGGAUCAGAUCAGGUGAACUUGUUUUUUUCUGAUUGCAGCGAUGCUCCAGUGUUCAGUAUCAGAGAGUUUAUUGUUAGUGUGGAGCUGAGAGGAGGCAUCAACCUGCAUCUGUGCACCAGAUCACCACACAGGAUGUUAACAUCCAGCAAAACUCAUGUUCAACAUUCAUAACAUAACAAGGUAACAGCAGGAUGAUAUUCUGAUAACAUAAUAACAAUAAAGUAAUAACGAGGUAAUAGCUUGGUGUUAACAGCAGACAGAUCCUGGUAGUAUCAGAAAGAAUUAACAACAAUAAGCUUAUAUCAGCAUCAUAAUAAUAUGGUGACAUUAAUGGGUUAAUAACCUGACAAUAGUAAGGUCUUUGAUGUUACUACAGUUCUACAGUAUGAAAUGAAAUGCACUCCUGAUCUGCCUCCAUAUGAUACAACUAACGGAUGUAAAAAGAACCAAUGAAACAACAGGAUUCAUGAGUGAGUGGCUGAGCAGCCAAUCAAGAGCCCACAGGGAGGCGGUCCCUGUUCGUGUUCCUCACGAUUAUUCGAUUAUUGUUAGACGGACGGUUCACGCACGCUGGACUCCUGGUCAGGUUCACUCAGUCAGUCCUGGAGCCGUGAAGCGGAGACGUUCAUCUAGUCGCAGUACGGCAGCCUCGAAGGACACAAACCUACAUCGGGAGGAGGAAGGAGGAGGUCGGGUUCAGGUCGGUGAUGAAGAUGCUGCUGUUGUAUGAAACAGAGACCAGGAUCAAGUCUGAACACUUUCACACUGCUGCAGUUUCUACCAGCUGAUGUUUUACUGCAACAUUUUGGUGGGAAAAAGAACAACGAGGUCGAACGUUUCACUCACAUAUACAGCAGCGACUUAAAUAUGUUCAUUAACAAUUACGUUGAUUCAGCAGCGUCACGUUUCUUAUCAAACAUAUUUGCAGUUCAGUCGAAUAUGAAGGUAACUUCUAGGAGACAGAGCUGAGAGAGUUAAACCUCACUGGUGCAGAUCGUCUCUGAGGACUAAAAGCUUUCGUUGAAGGUUAAACUCAGGUUUCUUUGUUUAGGUUAAAAUCUAAAUGUCUUAAAUUCAGAUUAAAAGCAAACAGUCUUUCGUGUGUUUGGAUGUAAAAGUUGUUGCAGGUUUUAGUCUGAUCCUCUCUGCUGCACUUUAGCCUGUUGGAACCAGAUGUUGUUAAUUAUGAAUAUAACCUGUUUAUAACCCUCUGUGUUGUCUGUCACAUCAGCCUGAACAGCCUCUCUGUUAAUAACACACACACACACACACACACACACACACACACACACACACACGCUGAAAACACUAAUCCAUAAUGAAUGUGGCCUCUCAUUAAACGAGAAGCAUUUUACACACACACGCUUCUGAAGAGCAUUUGUAUUUCAGCGUGUGUGUGUGUGAGCAUGUGUGUGAGUGUGUGUGUGUGUGCGUGUGUGUGUGAGCGAUUUGUCGAGCACUUCCUGUUAAUGGCGGAGGAGCAGCAGCGAGGUGGCGUUCGUUUGGUCAAAUCAAAGCAUAAAUGAUUUAGACGUAGCGAGCGCUUGACGCCGCAUGAGUUCACUUCAUGAAACGUUAAAUAUGAUGUUAACACACACACACACACACACACACACACGCGCACACACACACACACACACACACACACACACACACACACGUUGGGAAACUGUGUCAAUAAUAAUGAUGUUAACCGCCAUACAAACCAUCAUCACAGAAACCAAUUAGCUGAUAUAAAACAGUGAACAGAUGAUUAAACUACAAAGGGAAACAUACACAGUUUGUAUUUUCAUUUAAUAAAUAUGAAUAUAUGUAAAUAUUA